rnacentral:rRNA from 1 species
GACGUAGGGCGCGAGCGUUGUCCGGAUUUAUUGGGCGUAAAGAGCUCGUAGGCGGCUUGUCGCGUCGGCUGUGAAAACCCGCGGCUCAACUGUGGGCGGGCAGCUGAUACGGGCAGGCUGGAGUUCGGUAGGGGAGACUGGAAUUCCUGGUGUAGCGGUGAAAUGCGCAGAUAUCAGGAGGAACACCGGUGGCGAAGGCGGGUCUCUGGGCCGAUAUUGACGCUGAGGAGCGAAAGCGUGGGGAGCGAACAGG